rnacentral:rRNA from 1 species
CGGGACGGGUGAGUAACGCGUGGGUAACCUGCCUCAUACAGGGGGAUAACAGUUAGAAAUGGCUGCUAAUACCGCAUAAGCGCACAGGACCGCAUGGUCUGGUGUGAAAAACUCCGGUGGUAUGAGAUGGACCCGCGUCUGAUUAGCUAGUUGGAGGGGUAACGGCCUACCAAGCCGACGAUCAGUAGCCGACCUGAGAGGGUGACCGGCCACAUUGGGACUGAGACAUGGCCCAA